rnacentral:tRNA from 2 species
AAAGAAUUAGUUAAAUAUAUAACAUUAGAAUGUCAAACUAAAAUUAUUAAAUAUUAAUAUUCUUUA